AGUUUGAUCCUGGCUCAGGACGAACGCUGGCGGCUCCUUAACACAUCAAAUGCGAGGGGGCAAUGGUAUCUUUUUUUUAGCGUUUUUUGCGGGGGGGGGUGGGAUAACGGGUGGCCCACCCUUCCCCAAAGAGAGGAAUACCCACCAGAAAAGUGUUUAAUACCCCGACUAAGCCCCGGGUUCCACAAGGGAAUGGAGUAAAAGAUUUUCGGGUUUGGGGGGGCCUCGCUUCCAAUUAAGUAAUUUGGAGAGGAACCGGCCCACCAAAGCGUGAAGAUUGGUUACCCCCCUUGAGAGGGUUAUCCGCCACCAUUGGGGAUGAAGCCCGGGCCCAAAUUCCUUCGGGGGGCCACCAGGGGGAAUUUUGGCCAAUGGAGGAAAUUUUGCCCCCAGCAACGCCGCGUGGGAGAAAAAGGUUUUCGGAUCGUAAACUCCUGCCCUUGGAGACGAGUAGAAGACGGUAUCCAAGGAGGAAGCCCCGGCUAACUACGUGCCAGCAGCCGCGGUAAUACGUAGGGGGCAAGCGUUGUCCGGAAUAAUUGGGCGUAAAGGGCGCGUAGGCGGCUCGGUAAGUCUGGAGUGAAAGUCCUGCUUUUAAGGUGGGAAUUGCUUUGGAUACUGUCGGGCUUGAGUGCAGGAGAGGUUAGUGGAAUUCCCAGUGUAGCGGUGAAAUGCGUAGAGAUUGGGAGGAACACCAGUGGCGAAGGCGACUAACUGGACUGUAACUGACGCUGAGGCGCGAAAGUGUGGGGAGCAAACAGGAUUAGAUACCCUGGUAGUCCACACUGUAAACGAUGGAUGCUAGGUGUAGGGGGUAUCGACCCCUUCUGUGCCGCAGUCAACACAAUAAGCAUUCCGCCUGGGGAGUACGGCCGCAAGGUUGAAACUCAAAGGAAUUGACGGGGGCCCGCACAAGCAGCGGAGCAUGUGGUUUAAUUCGACGCAACGCGAAGAACCUUACCAGGUCUUGACAUCCACUUAAACUUACAGAGAUGUAAGGUGUGCUUGCACAAAGUGAGACAGGUGGUGCAUGGUUGUCGUCAGCUCGUGUCGUGAGAUGUUGGGUUAAGUCCCGCAACGAGCGCAACCCUUAUCUUCAGUUACUAACGCGUGAAGGUGAGGACUCUGAAGAGACUGCCGGGGACAACUCGGAGGAAGGUGGGGACGACGUCAAAUCAUCAUGCCCCUUAUGACCUGGGCUACACACGUGCUACAAUGGCCACGACAGAGAGAAGCGAAAUCGCAAGGUAGAGCGGAACUCAAAAAGUGGUCCCAGUUCGGAUUGUGGGCUGCAACCCGCCCACAUGAAGUCGGAGUUGCUAGUAAUCGCGGAUCAGCAUGCCGCGGUGAAUACGUUCCCGGGCCUUGUACACACCGCCCGUC
rnacentral:rRNA from 1 species